GGUCUGAGAGNAAACGGGGGGCACGCGCAACACACACAAAUCUGACGGUAGCGCACAGGNACCUNGUUCUUGGGUGACGAGUGGCGGACGGGUGAGUAAUGUCUGGGGAUCUGCCCGAUAGAGGGGGAUAACCACUGGAAACGGUGGCUAAUACCGCAUAACGUCGCAAGACCAAAGAGGGGGACCUUCGGGCCUCUCACUAUCGGAUGAACCCAGAUGGGAUUAGCUAGUAGGCGGGGUAAUGGCCCACCUAGGCGACGAUCCCUAGCUGGUCUGAGAGGAUGACCAGCCACACUGGAACUGAGACACGGUCCAGACUCCUACGGGAGGCAGCAGUGGGGAAUAUUGCACAAUGGGCGCAAGCCUGAUGCAGCCAUGCCGCGUGUAUGAAGAAGGCCUUCGGGUUGUAAAGUACUUUCAGCGGGGAGGAAGGCGGUGCGGUUAAUAACCGCGUCGAUUGACGUUACCCGCAGA
rnacentral:rRNA from 1 species